rnacentral:rRNA from 1 species
UGGGGGAUAUUGCACAAUGGGGGGAACCCUGAUGCAGCGACGCCGCGUGGGCGAUGGAGCGCCUCGGCGCGUAAAGCCCUAUCAGCAGGGAAGAAGAUGACGGUACCUGACUAAGAAGCCCCGGCUAAAUACGUGCCAGCAGCCGCGGUAAUACGUAUGGGGCAAGCGUUAUCCGGAUUUACUGGGUGUAAAGGGAGCGCAGGCGGCCUGGCAAGCCUGAUGUGAAAUACCGGGGCCCAACCCCGGGGCUGCAUUGGGAACUGCCAGGCUGGAGUGCCGGAGAGGCAGGCGGAAUUCCUAGUG